ACUGCGCAAACGCACGCAAGCGAGUGACGCACAGCGCAGGGCGGUUGGCGAGGAGAUGGAUCCCGACCUUUUCCUUCGAAAGGUGUCUACAUUGCAGGUCGGGAUGGAAUUGCGAGUGCACCUGGGGUGAGGGGCUGGACCUUCCGGCGAAAUGCUGUCACAUAACAUCUUACUCGCACGCCCCCGCACUGCACUGAAGAAUGCGGAGCUCUGGCCGGGUUAGGGAAGAGAAUGAGGGUCAGCAUCUUCUCUUCAGCUCCCAGAGCUCCAAACCACACUCGCCUAACCCUUCCCCAUGACCGUGUUCCCUCUGGCAGCCCCCAGCAUGCAAAGAUCUCUCUCUUUUGGGCUCAGAGGUCGAGUGCUUGCCCACCAUGUGCAAGGGCUUGGCAACGACAAAAUCAAGAGUGCUUGCCAAAAUACCGUUUUUCCAAAAAUGUUAAGGGCUAGCUUUUCCACUUGUUCUCUACAUUAGGCCGGCUUCCGAGGCUUCUUGGUCCGACGUCAAUUCCAGAGCCUUCGAGCCGAGUAUGAGGCAAUUGUACAAGAGAUUGAGGGUGACCUCAGCACUCUUCAGUGGACUGGGGGCUGGAUCCCCAAGCCCGUAUUUCUCCCAGAGGUACGACACUGCAGGGGAAAGGAAAGGAGAACCUGCUAUCGGGUUCAAGGGAAUGGUGGGUCUUCCCUCUUUGAAGAUUUAUUUUAAUGUGUGAGGGUGUUUUGCCUGUUGUUUGUACACUGUAUGUAGCCUGGCACCCCCAGAGGUCCAAAGAGGACAUUAGACCCUCUGGAACUGGAGUUAACAACUGUGAACCACCGUAUGGGUGCUGGGAACUGAACCUGGGUCCUCUGAAAGAACGAGUUCCUUUAACUGCUGAGCCAUCUCUCCGGCAAGCUCCAAAAGUCUGUAGACACAGAGCCUUACUAGGUAGUCCGGGCUGGCCUUGAACUCAACGGAUUUCCUGCCUCAACCUCCCCAGAUGCUUGCAUUAAAGAUGUAUACUACCCC
rnacentral:lncRNA from 1 species